GAAUACUCACCUCCCGCUCGUCGUCGUCUUAAGUGCAGUGAAUCCGCGCGGAGGCGCGUCGACCGCGUCGCGAGUGUUAAUAAACGGUUUUUUUUUCGAAUCGCGAGGAAAGUGAAAAAUUGCCGUCGGUGUUAUAUCACACGUUAAUCCAACCUUAUAAAACAAUCGUCUCUCGCACGCUCUAUACAAAGUCAAAAAGUGCAGCUUCGCCAGGGAAAUCGUUCUCUCCCCAAGACCCGAGUUAUUUCGGUGGUUUUUGGCACUCGCGCACCUAUACUCGGAGAGCAACGAUUUCUCGAGUCCCAGAACUUGUGUCAUGCGAGUAUAAGCUCUGACUUUAUCCGCACAUCGAUAGACAAGAGUAUAACAGCUCGAUCGUGAUGAGCGAGAGAAAACGAACGGUUAUCCUUCACAAGCGUCCCGACGACGAUGAUCAGCCGCGCCGGCGAAUCGAAACCACCACGACGACGGUCGUACGAAGGCCGAGAUACAACGAAGAUCGCGUACUCGAACGGGCUACCGUCGUACCGCCGCCUCGAGUCAUGCAACACACGGGUGGAGCUUCGCCGUCCGUUAGACCCGCAAAAAUCCCGAUGACAUCGCUGGACGAGAAUGUGAACCGCGUGCGCUACAGGCAGUCGGAAACUAUGGGCCACAACGAUAGCGAAAAAGUCGUGGCCGACCGUCUGGGAAAGAGAGAGAGGAUAGAGAAUCUCUCGAUGGAGAAGAAGGACGAGGGAGAGGACAUGGGCCGGCCGGUCCAGGUGGUCCAAGCUCACCCGGAUCACACGUUCGAGCUGGACGAGGAAGCCCUGGCUGAGAUCCUGCUGCAGGAGGACGUCAAGGACCGCAGCGUCGUCGUCGUGUCGGUUGCCGGAGCCUUCAGGAAAGGCAAGAGUUUCCUGCUCGACUUUUUCCUGCGCUACAUGAAUAGCAAGUACAUCCAGAAGGUGGAAACCGACGGCUGGCUGGGCGGCGAGACGGACCCGCUGGGCGGCUUCUCGUGGCGCGGUGGCUCCGAGCGCGACACCACCGGCAUCCUCAUGUGGUCCAAGGUGUUCCCGGCGACCCUCGCCAAUGGCGAGAAGGUCGCGGUCAUCCUCAUGGACACCCAGGGCGCCUUCGACAGUCAGUCAACCGUCCGCGACUGCGCCACAGUCUUCGCCCUCAGCACCAUGCUCUCGUCCGUGCAGAUCUACAACCUCUCGCAGAACAUCCAAGAGGACGAUCUGCAACACCUGCAGCUGUUCACCGAGUACGGAAGGCUCGCGCUCGAAAAGUCGGGUAGCACGCCCUUCCAGAGGUUGCAGUUCCUCGUGCGGGACUGGAGCUAUCCCUACGAGGCGGCCUACGGUGCCGAAGGUGGCCACAAGAUCUUGAAGAGGCGCCUCGAGAUCUCGGACAUGCAGCAUCCGGAACUGCAGAGUCUGAGGAAACACAUAGCCUCGUGCUUCUCCAACAUCUCCUGCUUCCUCAUGCCCCAUCCGGGCUUGAGAAUAGCCACCAAUCCCAACUUCGACGGAAGACUGUCCGAGAUCGAGAGCGAGUUCAAGGAACAGCUGAAGGUACUCAUUCCCAUGCUUCUCGCGCCGGAGAAUCUCGUGACGAAGAAGAUCAACGGACAGAUCGUCAAGGCUAAGGAACUGCUGGAGUACUUCAAGAGCUACAUCAAAAUCUACAAGGGCGACGAACUGCCCGAGCCCAAGAGCAUGCUUGUCGCUACUGCGGAAGCAAACAACUUGUCGGCUGUGGCGGAGGCCAAGGAUCUGUAUCUGCAAAUGAUGGAGUGCGUUUGCGGAGGGACGAAGCCGUUCUUGGCGACCGCCCAUUUGGAGUCGGAACAUCAACGGUGCGUCGACAAAGCGUUGCACCAGUUCCAAAACAAGAGAAAAAUGGGCGGCGACGAGUUCAGCCAGAUGUAUAUGGAAAAAUUGCAAAAGGAUAUCGAAGACUCUUUCCAACAAUUCAAAGCGCACAAUGAAAGCAAGAAUAUAUUCAAAGCUGGACGAACUCCUGCAGUGUUUUUCGUAAUAGCUCUUGCGAUGUACAUUGCAUCCGGUGUUUUCGGUCUCGUUGGACUAUACACCAUAGCGUAUAUCUGCAACGUCAUAAUGGGAGUAGCUCUGUUGACACUCGUUUUGUGGGCGUACGUUAGGUACAGCGGCGAGUUCCGAGAACUAGGGUCGAUCCUCGACGAGCUGGCUACUGCGAUAUGGGAAAACGCCUGGCAAUGUGCUCACCUCGUUCAUAAAUUACGAUUCCUCAUCCUUUCUGUGAUCGUGACAAUUUUUGCCAUACCAUCCAUUACUUUUUUCCAUAAUCAUUUACGCAAACAUCGUUUCAUCUGAUACGACGCAUUUUCAUGAAUCAUGUUUUUCAUUACAUUUUAACAUUUUAUUUACGAGUUACGAAUUUUAAGUUUUUCACGUACUCAAAGCAAUCAAAAGCGCUCAACCCCAUUGCAUUGUGCAACCGUUUCUUUUCUUCUUUUGUUUGAUUUUGAUUGACCAAACCUUUGUUAUUUUUUGUUCAACCUCUGUAUCCCUAUAACAAUUUCGAGUGAUAUGAGGAUCAGUGCUCAAUAAAGAUGCAUCGCGGACAUCGGCAUGCAAACUGAGAUUAUUCUCGAAGAUUUAAAAGUUUUCGCUAAUUAAUAACGCUAUCCAUUUCUGCUAAAGAGUGUAUGCACAAAAAGAGCGUUAAGUAAUGAAACCGGUGUCCCAGCAGUUCGUGAACAGAUCUAUGUCUGCAGCAGUGGCACAAGUUGCUGAAAUAGCCACAAAUUCGACGCUGAGUGCCACUGCCAAUGCCACUGCCAACGGCAAGCCUAAGUUGUCGUAAUGUUUGCUCUCUCAUGGUGUCGCAAAUGUGGAGCUUUCGAGAAAUGGCAAAACUAUUGGCGGUAUUCGAUUAAAUACCAUGGCUGAUAUCUGAGAAAUCUAGCGUGAUUGUUUGAAAGGAUCACCCUUUUUGUAAGGAAAAAUAAUUAGAAAAAUUUUUGAGAUAUAAAAAAAAAGUUACAAAAAAAAAUAUAUUUGCCACCAUUCUGAGACUUCGUUACACUCAGCGCAGCUAAGAAACUGUGGACGUAUGUACAGUACAUCCUGAUUAAGAAUCAGUGUUAGAUUGUUAAAAAAUUUAUUAAUAACGUCUAUGGUCACUAAUUAUUAUAUUGUUAUAUAGAAAUUAAACCUUGUAUUAAUAAGUGAUAUAUUGUCAAAGCAACAUUAAUUUUUAAACUUUUAAUAUGUUUGGGAAGUCUUUAGAAAAUUGAGAAAAAAGUUGUGUAAUCUUUUUGUAUAAAGAGUUAUUCAGUAUAAUUAUUACGUCAUUCAUUAAUUUUCAAAUGAUUUUGCAGAGAUGAUCCUCGUAGAAUUUUAUCUGUAAAGCGUAGAUGCAUUUCUUUAUUUUCAGAAAACUUGAAAGACUUAUCAGAAUUCAAUUAUUUUAUCUUCAUAUAAAUUUUAUACGUAACGUUAAAUGUUAAUUUUAACAGUACCAAAUGAGUCUGUGUUAUUGUGCCACAAACUUUCUACAUAAAACAUUGUAUUGAGAAUACUUUGUAAUAAACGAAUAUUGUGUAAACGUCACAGGCCCUUCAUUGUACUUUUACAAUAUACCAGGAUCUCUCGUUAAAUUUAUUGUAAACAUAUCAUGCCAUAGUAUCUUAGAGUAGUAGUUAUAUUUAGAAAUUUCGUUUGGAUUUUAUUUCAAAAGGAAUCUUGCCAUUAAAUAAUUGUUGUAGUUGAAAAAAUGUUUUGCGGAAUGUUCUAUGUUGUAUUAUUAGAUAAACUUUUCGUACAAUUUUGACAUUAUUGAUGAAUUACAAUAUUUAUGAUCCUAAAAUGGAUUCGAUAAUGGAAAGGUCUGUGAAAAAUUGAAGAUUUUAUUGCAUUGUAUCAUAUUAGGUGAUGGUCCCAAUUGAUUAUUUAUAACUAUUGCAUUGUUGUUUUGUGUUUAUUUAUUACGGAGAAAUCAGGUCGUUGUCUUUUUUCUAAUUUAAUAUAUAAUAUCAAUUCAUUAUCAAUAAAUAAAAAAAAUUAAAAGCUGAUAAUAAAUUUUUUUAUUCUAUAAAAAUAUAUCAGAGCCAUAAUUAUUUAAAACUUAGACGAUAGAAAAUAAUAGUAAUUUAAUAAAAGCGUACAAGAGAAUUCUGCACUUUUUAUUUUGGUCGCACUUGAAUAAAAAUUGUAUACAAAAAAAACAUACAUAGAAUACAUUUGGUGUAAGUGAUUAUAGGUGAAAAUAAACGUGUAUUUUUGUAUAACAACA